rnacentral:misc_RNA from 1 species
GAGCGUCAUUUAAACCAAUCCAGCCUCGUGCUUGGGUCUUGGGCCUUUCGCCUCCGGGCGGGCCUCAAAAUCAGUGGCGGUGCCUUCUGGCUCUAAGCGUAGUAAUACUCCUCGCUAUAGAUGUUAGAUGGUGUCUUGCCAAUAACCCCUAAUUUUUAAAGGUUGACCUCGGAUCAGGUAGGGAUACCCGCUGAACUUAA